CAUAGGUUAAUGAGGCGAACCGGGGGAACUGAAACAUCUAAGUACCCCGAGGAAAAGAAAUCAACCGAGAUUCCCCCAGUAGCGGCGAGCGAACGGGGAGCAGCCCAGAGCCUGAAUCAGUGUGUGUGUUAGUGGAAGCGUCUGGAAAGGCGCGCGAUACAGGGUGACAGCCCCGUACACAAAAAUGCACAUACUGUGAGCUCGAUGAGUAGGGCGGGACACGUGGUAUCCUGUCUGAAUAUGGGGGGACCAUCCUCCAAGGCUAAAUACUCCUGACUGACCGAUAGUGAACCAGUACCGUGAGGGAAAGGCGAAAAGAACCCCGGCGAGGGGAGUGAAAAAGAACCUGAAACCGUGUACGUACAAGCAGUGGGAGCACGCUUAGGCGUGUGACUGCGUACCUUUUGUAUAAUGGGUCAGCGACUUAUAUUCUGUAGCAAGGUUAACCGAAUAGGGGAGCCGAAGGGAAACCGAGUCUUAACUGGGCGUUAAGUUGCAGGGUAUAGACCCGAAACCCGGUGAUCUAGCCAUGGGCAGGUUGAAGGUUGGGUAACACUAACUGGAGGACCGAACCGACUAAUGUUGAAAAAUUAGCGGAUGACUUGUGGCUGGGGGUGAAAGGCCAAUCAAACCGGGAGAUAGCUGGUUCUCCCCGAAAGCUAUUUAGGUAGCGCCUCGUGAAUUCAUCUCCGGGGGUAGAGCACUGUUUCGGCAAGGGGGUCAUCCCGACUUACCAACCCGAUGCAAACUGCGAAUACCGGAGAAUGUUAUCACGGGAGACACACGGCGGGUGCUAACGUCCGUCGUGAAGAGGGAAACAACCCAGACCGCCAGCUAAGGUCCCAAAGUCAUGGUUAAGUGGGAAACGAUGUGGGAAGGCCCAGACAGCCAGGAUGUUGGCUUAGAAGCAGCCAUCAUUUAAAGAAAGCGUAAUAGCUCACUGGUCGAGUCGGCCUGCGCGGAAGAUGUAACGGGGCUAAACCAUGCACCGAAGCUGCGGCAGCGACGCUGAUGCGUUGUUGGGUAGGGGAGCGUUCUGUAAGCCUGUGAAGGUGUGCUGUGAGGCAUGCUGGAGGUAUCAGAAGUGCGAAUGCUGACAUAAGUAACGAUAAAGCGGGUGAAAAGCCCGCUCGCCGGAAGACCAAGGGUUCCUGUCCAACGUUAAUCGGGGCAGGGUGAGUCGACCCCUAAGGCGAGGCCGAAAGGCGUAGUCGAUGGGAAACAGGUUAAUAUUCCUGUACUUGGUGUUACUGCGAAGGGGGGACGGAGAAGGCUAUGUUGGCCGGGCGACGGUUGUCCCGGUUUAAGCGUGUAGGCUGGUUUUCCAGGCAAAUCC
rnacentral:rRNA from 1 species